UGGACGAGAAGACCCUAUAGAGCUUGACAGACCUUAAAAUAUUAUUUAUUUUAGUAUAUUUUUUAAAUGAUUUUUUUAUUUUGUUUGGUUGGGGUGACAUGAAGAAUAAAUAAACUCUUCAUUAUUAAAUCAUUGAUUUAUGUUUAUAUGAUCCAUAAAUUAUGAUCAUAAGAUUAAGUUACCUUAGGGAUAACAGCGUAAUUGUUUUUAAGAGCUCUUAUCAACAAAACAGCAUUGCGACCUCGAUGUUGGAUUAAUA
rnacentral:rRNA from 1 species